ensembl:lncRNA
UUUCUCUUUGCCUGAUGACCUGACAUAUACAUCCAGUCUGUGCCCAGGGCCUUAGGGCAUAGACGUCUUUGGGAGGCACUAUGCCUCCCAAAGGAUGCAAGCUUUAAGCUUUGUGAUUGAGAAGUAUGUUUGUGUUGAUUAAUCAGUUCAUCUUAAUUGAUAAGCAGCUAUAAAGCAUUUCACUAAGUGGUCAUUAUUUUUUAUAUAACAUUUAACACUGGGUCACAUAGAAGUGUUAAUAAUAAUCCUUUGGUUCAUUUAUUCACCUAAUAUUCUUUUUUCCCCCCACCUAAUGUUCUUGACCGUAUUCUAAUGUGACAGGUGUUGGGUGAGGCUAUAAAUGCCUAAUUUGUUCCUCAGCCUCAAGAAGCUUGGAGGAUUGUGGAAUAAACAAGUUGACAAAGAGGCUGCUGCACAAGUGUGCGUGAGAGACACCUAAAGUCAUCUGGAGUCAAGGAAGUCUUGAAGAAGUGAUGGAAUUUGUCAGGAGGAGGAGAGAAGUAUGUUAAAAGUCACAACAUAGGCAGAAAUCUCCAGAUGAAAGUAGUGUAUUGUGGAGCAGGGGUAGGGGGAGGUGGCAAGUCCAGUAGAAUGAAUGCAUCGAAUAAAAAACGCACAUGUUCCAGAAGAGGCUGCAGAGGUGGGUGAGCAGGAAACAGAUCCUGUGAAGAUGCUAAGCUUUUACAGUGAUGAGUUGUAGCCAUGGAAAGGUUUUUUUAAAAUCAAGAAAAUUCUAAAAGUUUUUAUUUUCCUCUUGAAUAAUCAUUUACAAAGGAAUAACUGAGCAAGUAAAAGCAAUACAAGCUGUGACUAUCCAAACAAAGCACAGAUGGAAGAUAACAUUUCCAGAUUAUAUUAGCAAGUAGUAUAAUAAUAUUAAAAGCAAUGUAAAGCAUAAUUAUCAUUUCUCAUAUAAACACUGUCAUAUAUAGUAGAAUUGUUUCAGAUUAUACAUUCUUGCAAUGGUCUUACUAGCUCCUAAAACUGCCUCAGUACAUGGUAGGACCUCAAAAUUAUGUACUAAAUGAAUAAAUAUUUUUUGAAAGUUUCUCUGAUGUACCUUUUAAUACUCGGCUUUUUUCCCCACUAUCACAUUUACUACAGCCCAACUCAUAAAAACUCACAUCCUCUCCAUUCAAAUCCUGGUGUCUUCCAGGUUACCUCACGUAUUUUCAGGAAGGCAAGUCGAUUUUCAUUCCCUAGUUUUCACCUUAUCUCAGCACUUCUCCAGUUGUAUCAGAGUCCUUGAGAAUUGUACCACCAGCCCCACAUAGCUGGUAAUUCCCUCAGCCGCUUCAGAGCAUGUCGUACCUUCCACUAUGGUGAGCGUUGACCAUCUUGACUGUUUCACAUCUCUCUCCUUGCCUAGUCUGAGGCUCUUCAUCUUUGUAUUUCUGAUACCAAAAGCAAUGCCUGUCUAAUGGGAAGAACACUGGGUUAAUUAUGGAGAAGACUGAAAGCACCUGCCAUUCAUGCAUCAUUCAUGCAUUCUGGUGGGGGGGCUUUGUGAAGAGCAAUGAGAUAUUACAUGUGAAGUUUUACAUGCUGCUUGGCGCAUGGCAAACAUGAUUGGUACUACGACAAAAGCAAAUUCUUGGGCGAAGAUCAGAGUCAGAUGUUAUGAGCAUAAUCUACUAGCAUUCCUACACAGUGCCUUUCUGUUCAGGCUAAAGGAUAAGAUAAUUUUUAUCCCUGAAAAUGUCACUUCAGGUGUAGGUGGAAUGAU